rnacentral:rRNA from 1 species
UAGGGAAUAUUAGUAAUGGGCGAAAGCCUGAACUAGCAACGCCGCGUGUGCGAAGAAGGCCUUCGGGUUGUAAAGCACUUUUUGAGAGGAUGAGGAAGGACGGUACUCUCAGAAUAAGUCUCGGCUAACUACGUGCCAGCAGCCGCGGUAACACGUAGGAGGCGAACGUUAUCCGGAUUUACUGGGCGUAAAGCGCGUGUAGGUGGUUUGGUAAGUAGGGCGUGAAAGCUCCUGGCUCAACUGGGAGAGGCCGUUCUAAACUGCCGAGCUAGAAGAUGGUAGAGGGAGGUGGAAUUCCGGGUGUAGCGGUGGAAUGCGCAGAUAUCCGGAGGAACACCAGUGGCGAAAGCGGCCUCCUGGACCAUUCCUGACACUCAGACG